rnacentral:rRNA from 1 species
GCUUGCUCUUUUGAAGUUAGUGGCGGACGGGUGAGUAACACGUGGGUAACCUGCCUCACAGCUGGGGAUAACAUCGAGAAAUCGAUGCUAAUACCGAAUGUGCUGAACAUCAUAAGAUGUUCAAGUGAAAGACGGUUUCUGCUGUCACUGUGAGAUGGACCCGCGCUGGAUUAGCUAGUUGGUAAGGUAAUGGCUUACCAAGGCGACGAUCCAUAGCCGACCUGAGAGGGUGAUCGGCCACAUUGGGACUGAGACACGGCCCAAACUCCUACGGGAGGCAGCAGUAGGGAAUCUUCGGCAAUGGACGAAAGUCUGACCGAGCAACGCCGCGUGAGCGAAGAAGGCCUUCGGGUCGUAAAGCUCUGUUGUUAGAAAAGAACAUGGGUGAGAGUAACUGUUCACCCCUUGACGGUAUCUAACCUGAAAGCCACGGCUAACUACGUGCCAGCAGCCGCGGUAAUACGUAGGUGGCAAGCGUUGUCCGGAAUUAUUGGGCGUAAAGCGCGCGCAGGCGGUCUCUUAAGUCUGAUGUGAAAGCCCCCGGC